rnacentral:rRNA from 1 species
GUCCACGCUGUAAACGAUGGGCACUAGGUGUCCGGGGUAUUGACCCCCUGGGUGCCGCAGCUAACGCAUUAAGUGCCCCGCCUGGGGAGUACGGUCGCAAGAUUAAAACUCAAAGGAAUUGACGGGGCCCGCACAAGCGGUGGAGCAUGUGGUUCAAUUCGACGCAACGCGAAGAACCUUACCUGGGUUAGACAACGGUGGACAGCCCCAGAAAUGGGGUCUUCCUUUCGGGGACUGCCGGUUCAGGUGCUGCAUGGCUGUCGU